rnacentral:lncRNA from 1 species
UAUGAUGUUUCGAGUGAGAAAAAUUAUAGAGUUGUAAACCGUGCAUAAUUAAAACCAGGUUCACCUAAUACCUGUCUCGAUUUUAAACAUCCUGAGUCUAUAAUUUUUUGUAUGCCAUCGAAAAAAUAUAUUCUUUCGACAUAAACAAAGUUGAUCAGAUUGUUGAUAUUCUUUUGAAGGAUCAACAAAUAUUGUUUAUUUAUGACAAUAAAAUGUCUUUGCUCGAACAAAUUUGAGCAAUAAUGUAUUGUAAAGUUCAUAAUACUUUCAACCAUCACACUAACUCUUGUCUUUGUUUCAGGGGUACAAUAGAGAGAGCAAUCGAGAAUGCAACAUACAUAUGAUAUGUAUUAACUUUGAACAAAUGUAUGCUCCAACCUUGAUAUAGUUUGCAUAUGCAGUAAAACCAUUGAAAUUUAAUUUUUAUCAUGUUCAAAAUCCUACACAAAAGAAACGAUUUAUUCAUAUUGUUGAUAAAUUCGUAUUCCAAUUUUAAAAAUCAACGACAACACUAGCACAUACAUUAGCUACAAUUUUACUAAAGCCUACGUUCACAUGAAAUCAAACAAAAAAUUUAUUCUUUUGUGAUUUCCCCUUUAUGUCAUUAAAAGUUACGUAAUAAUAGAAAAUUUGUAAAUUAAGUAAGUUUGUUUUUUAUGUUACCUCUUUACUAAGAAUACUAAAAAGACACAUAACACUUUGAUGUAUCUAAGACAAAUUGAAUUAUAAGUGUUCUAAAAAGACGAACACAACACACUCAAAUAAUUAAGACACAUUUAAUAAAGAUUAUAAUUUUAGGAAGGUAUUUUACUUCUCCAUCAACUCUAAAAAUUAGCUAUAAAUAUCCUUUCUCUUUAUGCAUUAAAUAUAUUUGUUGUUUAUUAUGUGCAAAGAUAAUGAUCAUCAACAUUGUAAGUCAUAAUUAAAAAUAUAAAGUAAUUAAACAAGGUAGUUGAUGGACGAAAGGGAAAUAUUGACAAUUGCUCCAAAUGGUAAUAAGUAAUAAAGUAGUAAGUUAUUGUGUUCAUAAGGAUUAUCGUUUAACUUGGUAAUUAGCGAAAUUUAUCAUGAACAGUUGGAAACCAUUUUUCAUUAACAAUUCUUUAGAGAAGAAAUGAAAGUGAGUGCCAUUGAUUAAACAAGGAUUUAAAACAGAGAUGAUGAAUCAUUAUAAAAUUACAUCAGUAGAUUUAGAUUGAUGAAUGAUGGAUACAUGGCUAUGAUUCUUGAGUAUGAAUGUUGAAAUAGCUACUAUGGGCCUUAUUAUGCAGUUAUAAAUAAAAGGGUUAAUUAUGUUUAAAGUACCUAUAAAUAAGUGAGCUUCCAACAUUGAUCCCUAUUUAAAUUUUAUUAAAUUUUUUAUCCCUAACCUUUUUUUCCAUUUGUAAGUUUGGUCCUUGCCGUCAAAUUGUGCUCACUAGGCUAACAGAAUGUUGACUCAGACAUGCCAUGUGGACAUUUCAAGUGACAUGGCUGUCAUGUGGUAAAUGACAUCAUAUGUUUUUGGUCCCUAUAAAAUUAGGAUUUUUUAAGUUUAGUCCUUACUUAAUUAUAAUAGUAUUUUUAGCCCAUAUAAAAAAUUAUGCACUCAGUUUUAGUCCAUACUAAAUCUAAAUUUGUUUAAUUAUACUUAAACUUUUAAGAUUUUGAACAAUUUUUUGCACAAGUGUUAAGAACAUUACGAAAAGUUCAUCUGCAAAAAAUUAUCUCAAAAUUUUAUUUCUGCGUCCAGAAUUUUGUUACUUUUAUUUUGAACUUUUGUCUAUUAAAAAAAUCCAUAUUUAAUUUAUUUCAUAUUAGAAAAUUCUAAAUUUAUUAAAUGAGUUGUUUGUAAUGUUCUAAACUUGUAUAAAAAAAAUCUUUAAAAAUUUAAGAGUUUAAGGAUAGUUACAAAUUGUCCUAUAAUUUUUGUCAAAGCCUAUCACUCUCCUUCGUUCUUUUUUAUUCUUCCAGAUCCAUAAAAUAUUUCACCCUACAAAUAUUUCCAGUCAUUCCCUGAAUUUGCCUGGGAAAAAAAGCAGAUAUGUGUUAUUGUUUCUCUUUGUUACUACUUCACUCUCUUCAAUCAUCUUUACUCCCACUCGGUUUCCCGAUCCGAACCUUGAAAAUUGAAUGGUUCGAUUUCUCUCUCGAAAAGUUUAUUGCUGGAUUUUUCAAUGGUGAAUAUUGUUGAGUUUUUGUGUGUUGAAGUUGACGUGUGAUUAAGUUGUUGAAAUUGAUGUCUUAGAUGAAUUUGGAAGCGAAAUUUAGAAGAGUGUCGCCAGCGUGAACGAGGUGGUGAAUAAAGUGGGAGAGAGUUUGGAUUUUUCACCACCUCGUUCACGCCGACGACGCUCUUCUAAAAACUCUUAAAUUUUUCAAUGAUUUUUUUAUACAAGUUUAGAACAUUACUAAAGGUUCGUUUACUAAAAUUUAGAAUUUUUUUACAUGAAAUAAAUUAAAUAUGAAUUUUUUUAAAAGACAAAAGUUCAAAAUAAAAGUAACAAAAAUCUGGACGCACGAAUAAAAUUUUGAGAUAAACUUUUCGUGAUGUUCUUAAUACUUGUGCAAAAAAUUGUUCAAAAUCUUAAAAGUUUAAGCAUAAUUUAACAAAUUUAGAUUUAGUAUGGACUAAAAUUGAGUGCAUAAUUGUUUUAUAUGGACUAAAAACACUAUUAUAAUUAAGUAAGGACUAAACUUAAAAGGUCUCAAUUUUAUAGGGACCAAAAACAUAUGAUGUCAUUUACCACAUGGCAGCCAUGUCACUUGAAAUGUCCACGUGACAUGUCUGAGUCUGCAUUCUGUUAGCCUAGUCAACACAGUUUGACGGCAAGGACCAAACUUACAAACGGAAAAAAACGUUGGGGAUGAAAAAUUUAAUAAAAUUUAAAUAGGGACCAAUGUUAAAAGCUCGCUUAUUUAUAGGGACCUUAAACAUAAUUAACCCUAAAUAAAAUGAUUAUCCAAAAACUUAGAGAUAUGUCUCAAUUGGAUAAAACUAAUAGGCAAAUCAAAAUAAUGAAUCUUUGAAAAAAAUAAAUUUAAAAAGCAUGAGAACAUACUCCCUCCGUUUCAAAAUAUAAACAAAUUUUAUUUUUUAGGUUCAUUCAAUUAAUGACGUAUGUGGUCCAUAUUAUGAAACUCAUACAUCAUUAAUUGAAUGAACCUAAAAACUAAAAUUUGCUUAUAUUUUGAGACGGAGGGAGUAUGAUGUUUCAAGUGAGAAAAAUUAUAAAGUUGUAAAUCGUGCAUAAUUAAAAUCAGGUUCACCUAAUACCUGUCUCGAUUUUAAACAUCCUGAGUCUAUAAUUUUUUGUAUGCCAUCGAAAAAAUAUAUUCUUUCGAUAUAAACAAAGUUGAUCAGAUUGUUGAUAUUCUUUUGAAGGAUCAAGAAAUAUUGUUUAUUUAUUACAAUAAAAUGUCUCUGCUCAAACAAAUUUGAGCAAUAAUGUAUUGUAAAGUUCAUAAUACUUUCAACCAUCACACUAACUCUUGUCUUUGUUUCAAGGGUAUAAUAGAGAGAGCAAUCGAGAAUGCAAGAUACAUAUGAUAUGUAUAUUUUUUUUUAAGAAAUACAUAUGAUAUGUAUUAACUUUGAACAAAUCUAUGCUCCAACCUUGAUAUAGUUUGCGUAUGCAGUAAAACUAUUGAAAUUUAAUUCUUAUCAUGUUCAAAAUCCUACACAAAAUAAACGAUUUAUUCAUAUUGUUGAUAAAUUCAUAUUCCAAUUUUAAAAAUCAACGACAACACUAGCACAUACAUUAGCUAUAAUUUUAUUAAAGCCUACUAUGUUCACAUGAAAUCAAACAAAUUUUUUAUUCUUUUGUGAUUUACCCUUUAUGUCAUUAAAAGUUACGUAAUAAUAGAAAAUUUGUAAAUUAAGUAAGUUUGUUUUUUAUGUUACCUCUUUACUAAGAAUACUAAAAAGACACAUAACACUUUGAUGUAUCUAAGACAAAUUGAAUUAUAAGUGUUCUAAAAAGACGAACACAACACACUCAAAUAAUUAAGACACAUUUAAUAAAGAUUAUAAUUUUAGGAAGGUAUUUUACUUCUCC